CUCUGUCUCUCUCUCCCCCAAACCCACACUUUCAGAGGCUCUUUUCUCCAGUGGAGACUACAACUCCCACAAUGCACCGCGCCGUUCCGGAAGCCACGGAAUUGUCGCGGGGGUGUGACCCGUCCCCGACCCUAGGUCCUGGCAGUCCGUGCAUUUGGACAUUGCUCUCCAAGCUGUGGGAGCCUCCUUUGCCAGCAGCCAGAGAAUGAACCUGGCAUCCUAUAUGAGACCCCAGGCCUGACCUGAAUCCUUGGAGGGUCCUGGGACUUCCUGCCAGGUAUGCUGUGAAACACGUGCUGCUCAAGUGGAGGCUAGCCACAGCUGGCCACCCCUGGCUGGGAACUGGGAGCCACGGAAGGCCAGUGGAGAGAGAGAAAGAGGCAGACUGCAGUCCUGUGAGAGGCGUCCUGCUCCUGUGCAGUGAGAAAUUAUGUGGGGUUCAUCCAGAUGGGAACUCAGAGGGCCCCAGGCCACGGCAACUUUGACACAAUCUGCCAGAUGUCCAGUGCUCAGAAGGAAAAGAAUCCAUUUCUACAUUCUUCGGCUCCGGACACCCACUGAUGUUUAUUCAUCCCUCAGAGAGGUUAUCUGCAUUUGACUCCAGGCCGGCUCAGCCAUGGGCGUCCAUGGGUGAACGUGGGGGAAUGUUGAGAAAGACAACCGGAAGAGGGGGGGUGGAGAAAGAGAAUGUGUAUUUAGUGAGUAAGGGGAUGUUUGAAAUCCAAAGGUUUGGAAUCCAGAGGCUCAAAGAAGCACCUCGGUUGAUGGCUCCUAUUUAGCCAAUGAGUGGAGGGUAUUUCUCUUUAUCUCUCCUCUCCCUCUCCCUCCUCCCCC